rnacentral:rRNA from 1 species
UGGGGAAUCUUGGACAAUGGGCGCAAGCCUGAUCCAGCCAUGCCGCGUGGAUGAUGAAGGCCUUAGGGUUGUAAAAUCCUUUCGUGGGGGACGAUAAUGACGGUACCCCAAGAAGAAGCUCCGGCUAACUUCGUGCCAGCAGCCGCGGUAAGACGAGGGAUCCUAGCGUUGUUCGGAAUUAUUGGGCGUAAAGCGGGUAUAGGCGGACUUAUAAGUCAGGUGUGAAAUCCCAGGGCUCAACCCUGGAAGUGCACUUGAUACUGCAAGUCUUGAGUGUGGUAGAGGCUAUUAGAAUUCCUGGUGUAGUGGUGAAAUACGUAGAUAUCAGGAGGAAUACCGGAGGCGAAGGCGGAUAGCUGGGCCAACACUGACGCUGAGACCCGAAAGCGUGGGGAUCAAACAGGAUUAGAUACCCCGGUAGUCCCUGAGCGGGCUGGCAAGGCGCAU